rnacentral:rRNA from 1 species
AUGGAGAGUUUGAUUCUGGCUCAGAACGAACGCUGGCAGCGUGGAUUAGGCAUGCAAGUCGAACGAGAAGCUAUGUUUUCAAUUCUUCGGAAGAGAUUUUGUAGUGGACAGUGGCGGAAGGGUGAGUAACGCGUGGAUAACCUACCCUUGAGUUGGGGACAACAUUCCGAAAGGAGUGCUAAUACCGAAUGUGGUAACCUGUCGUAAGGCAGGCUCACUAAAGACGGGGAUUCUUCGGAACCCGUCGCUCGAGGAGGGGUCCGCGUCCCAUCAGCUUGUUGGUAAGGUAAUGGCUUACCAAGGCAUACGGGUAGCCGGCCUGAGAGGGUGAUCGGCCACACUGGGACUGAGACACUGCCCAGACUCCUACGGGAGGCUGCAGUCGAGGAUCAUUCGCAAUGCGCGAAAGCGUGACGAUGCGACGCUGCGUGGAGGAUGACGGCCCUAGGGUUGUAAACUCCUGUCAUGAGGGAAAAACGGCCAUAAGGUUAAUACCCUUAAGGUGUGAUGGUACCUCAAGAGGAAGCCACGGCUAACUCUGUGCCAGCAGCCGCGGUAAUACAGAGGUGGCGAGCGUUGUUCGGAUUUACUGGGCGUAAAGGGUGCGUAGGUGGCAAUGUAUGUCGGAUGUGAAAUCUCGAGGCUCAACUUCGAAAUUGCAUCCGAAACUGCAUAGCUUGAGUACAGGAUGGGAGAGCGGAAUUCUUGGUGUAGCGGUGAAAUGCGUUGAUAUCAAGAAGAACACCGGCGGCGAAGGCGGCUCUCUGGAAUGUUACUGACACUGAGGCACGAAAGCUGGGGGAGCAAACAGGAUUAGAUACCCUGGUAGUCCCAGCCGUAAACGGUGUCGACUUGGUGUGGGGGGAAUUGACCCCCUCCGUGC